GCAGGCGUGGCGAAAUUGGUAGACGCACUAGACUUAGGAUCUAGCGAAGCAAUUCAUGGGGGUUCAAGUCCCUUCGCCUGCACCA
rnacentral:tRNA from 1 species